AGAUCACACAAUAGCUCCAUUAGGCACCAGGUCAUCAAGUCACAAGAUCACACAAUAGCUCCAUUAGGCACCAGGUGCUAAGAUCAGAGAAUAACCACUAACUAGUCCUAGAGCUAUUUGCCUGUCAAUGAAGUGCCAAGAGCCAAGACAAAAAAUGAUUUACUUUCCUUAAUCAGAGCUUGAUUGUUCAGAGCUGAAUAAAUCCUACAACUGAAGAGUUGAGUACAAAGAAAACUGGCCAUUUGAACUUAUACAACUGAAUGUCUAAGUCAACCUAUACAACUGAAUGUCUAAGUCAACCUAUACAACUGAAUGUCUAAG